rnacentral:misc_RNA from 1 species
AAGUCGUAACAAGGUCAUCGUAGGUGAACCUGCGGUGGGAUCAUCAAUAAUCUAACUACCACAACAAAUGGUGUGAACUAGUGCUGAUUAUGUUUAAUGGGAUUGGGUUUUAUUAUCCGGUUUCAUAUUUUCUUUCUCCAGUGUGCUCUCUCGGGGGCGCUUUGGAGAUGGGAGACAACCUGCACUUAACAGUGUGUUUAUGGCCAAAUACAACAACUUUCCGUAUGAUUGCAGACUUGUCUGUGGUUAGGAAAACAAACGUAUACUUUUCUAUCUAGCUGUGAUGGCAAGAUAUAAAUUACAUAAAACUAUUAAUGGUGGAUCACUUGGCUCUC